GACGAACCGUGCGACCGUUGUUCGGAAUCACUGGGCUUAAAGGGCGCGUAGGCGGGCCAGCAAGUCAGGGGUGAAAUCCCGCGGCUCAACCGCGGAAGUGCCUUUGAUACUGCGGGCCUGGAGGGAGGUAGGGGCGUGCGGAACUUCCGGUGGAGCGGUGAAAUGCGUAGAUAUCGGAAGGAACACCGGUGGCGAAAGCGGCGCGCUGGACCUCUUCUGACGCUGAGGCGCGAAAGCCAGGGGAGCAAACAGG
rnacentral:rRNA from 1 species